CCCUCAGCCUGGAGCAUCCCACCCGCAUCCGUGGGAUUCACCCGGGCUGGGAUAUUCGGGCUCUGCAGCCGUCCCCGCCUCUGCCAGCACGUUUGGAGGGGCGGGAUGGGGACAACCACUGCCCCCUGGGACACCUCCACCACCCCCGUCCCACCUCCCAAAGGCCGCGGCAGCAGCUCGCCUGUCCCUCCCCAAGGAGGGGGGGAUGUAACACCCGCCCCCCACGCCGGGACCUGCCUGUUCCUCCUCUCCCACCCCAAAUCCACGGAGCAGAGCCGGGUUUAGCUUCGCUCGGGGUCAGGGCGGCGACCCCGUAACCACGAGGUGGCAAUGCAGCCCCGAGGUGACAGCGCAGCCCCGAGGUGACACCGGCGCUCCCACUUUCAAUCUGGGUGUCGAUAAAAGCUGAGAUUUCCCUGGAUCUCCUCGAAAAACCUCACCACGGAGGCCGCGGGGCUGUGCCGGCAGCAGGUGGAGGAGCCGAGCCCCCCUUUGCUGGAGGAGGAGGAGGAGGAUGGAGCCUUCCUCCCAUUUUUCCGCAGCCUUUCUCCACAGCACCCGAACCUCGGGGGUCCCAAUAAAAGCCGGAUUGUUCCUGAUGUUCCAGCGCC